GAUUCGUCACACUAUCAUUAACUGAAUCCAUAGGUUAAUGAGGCGAACCGGGGGAACUGAAACAUCUAAGUACCCCGAGGAAAAGAAAUCAACCGAGAUUCCCCCAGUAGCGGCGAGCGAACGGGGAGGAGCCCAGAGCCUGAAUCAGCAUGUGUGUUAGUGGAAGCGUCUGGAAAGGCGCGCGAUACAGGGUGACAGCCCCGUACACAAAAGCGCAUGUGCUGUGAGCUCGAUGAGUAGGGCGGGACACGUGGUAUCCUGUCUGAAUAUGGGGGGACCAUCCUCCAAGGCUAAAUACUCCUGACUGACCGAUAGUGAACCAGUACCGUGAGGGAAAGGCGAAAAGAACCCCGGCGAGGGGAGUGAAAAAGAACCUGAAACCGUGUACGUACAAGCAGUGGGAGCACAGGUUUACCUGUGUGACUGCGUACCUUUUGUAUAAUG
rnacentral:rRNA from 1 species